GUCAAUUUGUGAAAAAAAUAAAUAAUCUGUGUCAACUAAAUGUACUAAAUUUUGUAUAGUACCAAAAACUACUAAACUCUCAGUGCAACAAGCAGUACUUCAACAUUUCACCAUGACAUUAUUGACUUUUUUUGCAUUAAUUAUUAGUCAUAAGUAUCUUUAAUUUUUUUGAAAUUUUUUUAUACUCAACUAUAAGUUUUGUUUUUUUUUAAAUUUUUUAAGGAGAUAUUGAAUUUUUCUCUAUUAUGAUAGCCUAUUUCAAUAAAAAUAAACUUUACAAAAUGCAAUAUCUCCAUGAAAAUUUUUUUUACAGUUUUUUUUUUUAAUUGACAAAGAAUAUUUACAAUCUGUGUUAUAUCACAAUAAGCAAAUAUGAUAAUUUUAAAUACAAUAAUUUAUAUACAUUUUAACUGUGAGUGAUAUAAGGAGGGAGGCCAACCAGUGCUGGAACCCAACGUGAUAUGUUACUUUAGGUUAAUAAAUCUCUGCAGUAUUUUCUUUUGAGUCGAUGGGUUGAGUAUUGGAUGUGAUUUGCGUUAUUAAUGAGUUAGUUUGGGAAUGAAGUUUGGAAUAAAAAGAUCUGUAAUCUUUUGUGGCUAAUUGAACAACUGUUUCGAUUUUUUGGUCCGAGUGUAGUGCAGAGUUAUAUUUAAAUCAAGGUGCAGACGAUAGCAUACGGAGAAUUAUCGACUAGAAAACUUGUAUGGUCCAAAUUUGGGGUGGUUUAGCGCAGCCCCAAAUUUGGAUUCCAUAUGCCCACAUUGGUUGUAAAAAAAAUUUGUACAUAAUAACUAGUUAUAGCAAUUUAGUGAAAUUAAGUGAAUUUCAAUUUAAU